CGGAGGAUCCGAGCGUUAUCCGGAUUUAUUGGGUUUAAAGGGUGCUUAGGCGGCAUAUUAAGUUAGUGGUCAAAUGGUCCGGCUCAACCGGAUUUCGCCAUUAAAACUGAUGUGCUAGAGAUUAAACGAGGUAGGCGGAAUAAGUUAAGUAGCGGUGAAAUGCAUAGAUAUAACUUAGAACUCCGAUAGCGAAGGCAGCUUACCAGGCUACAUCUGACGCUGAAUCACGAGAGCGUGGGUAUCGAACAGGAUU
rnacentral:rRNA from 1 species